rnacentral:rRNA from 1 species
UACGUAGGGGGCAAGCGUUGUCCGGAAUUAUUGGGCGUAAAGCGCGCGCAGGCGGUGAUUUAAGUUUGGUGUUUAAGCCCGAGGCUCAACCUCGGUUCGCAUCGAAAACUGGGUCACUUGAGUGUAGGAGAGGAAAGUGGAAUUCCACGUGUAGCGGUGAAAUGCGUAGAGAUGUGGAGGAACACCAGUGGCGAAGGCGACUUUCUGGCCUAUAACUGACGCUGAGGCGCGAAAGCGUGGGGAGCAAACAGG